UACGUAGGUGGCAAGCGUUGUCCGGAUUUACUGGGCGUAAAGAGCGCGCAGGCGGUCGUUCAAGUCGCGUGUGAAAGCCCCCGGCUCAACUGGGGAGGGUCACGCGAUACUGAUCGACUCGAAGGCAGGAGAGGGUAGUGGAAUUCCUGGUGUAGCGGUGAAAAUGCGCAGAUAUCAGGAGGAACACCGAUGGCGAAGGCAGGUCUCUGGGCAUUAACUGACGCUGAGGAGCGAAAGCAUGGGGAGCGAACAGG
rnacentral:rRNA from 1 species